UACCUAUAUAGUCUUCUGGAUGUAGCCUGGGAUGACUGUGAGCUCACUGCAUGGUUAUCUGCUUCUCAUAGUUCCAUUGUAUGGAGGAUGAGCUGGGAUCGUUCUCACUAUGUGACUAACAGGUGGCUGGAUGUAGGUUUGGGUGAACAUGAGCCACUGCAGGCCAAACUGGUCCUAAAUGUUCUGCUCCAUGUAGCCUGGGACGAGUGUGAACUCACUGCAUGGUUAUCUGCAGCUCAAAGUUCCACUGGAUGAAAGAUGAGGAGAGGUCAUUCUCACUAUGUGACUAACGGGUAGUAAAUGAUUUGCUGCAUGCCAACCACAAUGAGUAUUGGUCUCUGAGUUGCUACCUGGUCCUCACCUAUUCACUGGAUGCAGG
rnacentral:lncRNA from 1 species